rnacentral:rRNA from 1 species
AGCGAACGUUAGCGGCGCGCCUAACACAUGCAAGUCGCACGAGAAAGGGAGCAAUCCCCGGUACAGUGGCGCACGGGUGAGUAACACGUAGAUGACCUUCCCUGGAGUGGUGGAUAACCUGCCGAAAGGCGGGCUAAUACAGCAUGGGACCACAUGGUUUUGACCGAGUGGUGAAAGCGGGCCUCUGUUCACAAGCUCGCGCUCUGGGAUGGGUCUGCGUCCCAUCAGCUAGUUGGUGAGGUAAUGGCUCACUAAGGCAUCGACGGGUAGCUGGUCUGAGAGGAUGACCAGCCACACUGGAACUGAGACACGGUCCAGACUCCUACGGGAGGCAGCAGUGGGGAAUCUUGCGCAAUGGGCGAAAGCCUGACGCAGCGACGCCGCGUGGGUGAUGAAGGCC